rnacentral:rRNA from 1 species
GACGAACGCUGGCGGCGUGCCUAAUACAUGCAAGUCGUGCGGACCUUGUUGAAAGCUUGCUUUUAAAAGGUUAGCGGCGGACGGGUGAGUAACACGUGGGCAACCUGCCUGUAAGACUGGGAUAACGCCGGGAAACCGGGGCUAAUACCAGAUCAUUUUUUCCUCCGCAUGGAGGAAAAAGGAAAGGCGGCUUCGGCUGCCACUUACAGAUGGGCCCGCGGCGCAUUAGCUAGUUGGCGGGGUAAUGGCCCACCAAGGCAACGAUGCGUAGCCGACCUGAGAGGGUGAUCGGCCACAUUGGGACUGAGACACGGCCCAAACUCCUACGGGAGGCAGCAGUAGGGAAUCUUCCGCAAUGGACGAAAGUCUGACGGAGCAACGCCGCGUGAGUGAAGAAGGCCUUCGGGUCGUAAAACUCUGUUGCCGGGGAAGAACAAGUGCCGUUCGAACAGGGCGGCGCCUUGACGGUACCCGGCCAGAAAGCCACGGCUAACUACGUG